ACUUGAGCUACUGCCAAGAUAAGUUAAAAUUCGGAGAGUACACGAGUAAACAUUGCCCUGGGAAUCUAAAAAAAUCGCGUAUUUUAUUGUAACUACUCAGAAAAAAUCCAUAUAGACUUAAAAGAACUUUUCAAAAGAAAAAAUGAACGAUCUAAUCAAUAUAAUCUAAAAUAAGCUACUUGGAAUACUCUUAUUGACAUUCUAAAUUCCGACUGGGAACUCGUAAAUAACAAAAAUUAUUAUGAAUUUGCCUUUUUAUUAUAUGUACGUUAUUAUUAUUUGCAAACAUUAGAAAAAAGCGAUUUGUAAAUGCAAAACCGGUAUAUUUAUUUCUGUUUAUAGUUUGGACUUUAUUUUUUUGUUUUACCAUUAAGAUUAUUACCUAUUACUAAAAAGUGCGUAACUUUAAAUUUUGCAUAUUUGCCACAAAAUAAUAAAAUAAAACUUAAACGAUACUGAGUAAAUUGAUAUAAUAAAAUGAAAAGGAAAAGGCAGACUACAUAUUUCGAUAAAGCGGCAAAAUAUUAAUUCAAACAAAACUGAUGAUGACUGACAUCCGUUACAUCGACCCCUGCUGUAUAAGGUCAAUAGCAGCGAAAAUGGUGCUUAAACUUAAAUGAGAUACUAUGCAUUAUUAGAUUUUAACAAUUCAACAUUAUACAAAGAAAACAAGUAUGCAACUCUAUUAGAGAGAUAAUCUGUUAUAGUAGACAGUAGGUUAUUUAUACGAACAAUGAAUAUUUCCUAUUUCUUCAAAGUGAAACUUAAGGAUCACUUUGCAUUUCUAAAUAUAAACAUGAAAAUAUAUUAAACAUUUAAAUAUAAGUGCCCGAAAAUUACAACAAAUAAGAAGUUCUAAAUUUUAAAUGUGUUGACCAGCUUUUCUCGUUGUACCUUUUUACGAAUGUCGUAAUUUACGUCAAGUGUCUCAUAAACACUAACAAUUUAAUAAUAAAAUUAUGGCAACGUUGUUAUUGACGUCAUAUGUUCUAUCCGUUUGUUUUUAAAUGAACUUAGCAAUAAUAUAAAUAACACCUACAGUAUGGUACCUUAUACUAGAAUAUUAAACGCUUUCGUUCAAACAAAACCAUAAAAGGUAUGAAAAUUACACUUCUUUAGACAUUACAUUUAAUUUAAUUUUUUUAUCAUCAAUAACAUUUCUAAAUAAUGACCUUCCCUUAUUAGACAGUUAACAAGUCUAUUCGCACUAAUUCGACUAAUUAUCUUUGCGAUGAAAUGAUGAUGAUGUAGACCCCCUUUGUAGGUACAUGAUAAUCGUUAACGUGAAAUUUCAAUGUUUAUCAAGUUUCAUCUACUAAAACAGGCAAAUCAAGGAAAAAUGGUUAAUAAUGAGCACGGUCUAAUGGCCUUGCUUAACCAUCGCAGUAUUAAUGACAAUUGCUUCCAUAUACAGUAUUGACUGUGAGGAGGGACUGAAGGAGAUUUGUGGCGGGAGGAGUGCUCCAAAAAAAUUAGCUACGCCAUUAGAAAAAGCCUUUCGAGUAUAUCAUUAAUGCUCACAUCCGUAUUUUGUUUUAGAAUAAAUUCUAGAGUACAUCUAUUAGAGGGUUGUUAAGUGGCUGAGUUUAUGACAUCCUUUAAUUAUCAAAUUAAAAUUAAUUCUACAGUACAAAUAGGUAGUGUUAUCGACAAAAAAAAAAUCCAUCAGUCUUAAGGUUGGAGGGCUCUGGAGACUACAAUAGCUAACGUACAUGUAAUAACCCCCUGCAUUUAAACAUAAAAUAAUAAGGGAUUUUAUGUAAUUAAAACUGAAAUAGAUAGGUAAAUUAGAAAUGAAAAUAACCCUUCUGUGACGGCUUUCUUUUACGAACCACUUAUUAGCCAUAACAAAUUUACUAUCGAGUAAUAUAAUACUACUAGAAAGUUUGUUUAAGUUUGUACAUCAAUGUUAACAUUGUUAUGACUACGACUGCCCCCCUUUAAUUAGGCCAUACUGUAAGUCCACAUUACUUUUUAAAUAUUGUCAGUUUAAAAACUUUUUAAAAGUUAUGAAGCACUUUUCAAUAUUGUGGUACUUUUUAAGAAAUGGUAUUUGUUUUACAUUACUUUAGUUUGCAUAAAAAAUAUUUGAAAUUUAAAAUUGUAAUGACUGAUAAUUACGAAUAUUAUCAUAAAUUAUAUAAAACCUACUGUGCAGAUAAAAAAGGUACUGGCCCUAGUUUCAUCUUGUACAUAUAAAACGCCUUAUGCGAUGAGUCACCAUUAUUCAUAUACAUCAAUGAUGUACACAUAUAAUUCUAAUGUUAAUUGUCAAUGUAUGUUUUACUUUAUACAGACGUAUAUAUGUAUGUAUAAUUACGAAUGCAUGAUUCAAAAAUGAUCGUAUUUUGGAAAAAUGUUUUGAGAUUUAAUACCUAAAAGUAUAUUCAUAUCACAAAAAUCCAGUGUUUAGUAAAACAUACUGUAUGUCACAUGUUGAAUAAAAAAAAUUGUGAAAACCUA